ACUUCACCUGGUCCACUAGCCGU
rnacentral:miRNA from 4 species